rnacentral:rRNA from 1 species
CAAGGCCACGAUGCAUAGCCGACCUGAGAGGGUGAUCGGCCACAUUGGGACUGAGACACGGCCCAAACUCCUACGGGAGGCAGCAGUAGGGAAUCUUCGGCAAUGGACGAAAGUCUGACCGAGCAACGCCGCGUGAGUGAAGAAGGUUUUCGGAUCGUAAAACUCUGUUGUUAGAGAAGAACAAGGAUGAGAGUAACUGUUCAUCCCUUGACGGUAUCUAACCAGAAAGCCACGGCUAACUACGUGCCAGCAGCCGCGGUAAUACGUAGGUGGCAAGCGUUGUCCGGAUUUAUUGGGCGUAAAGCGAGCGCAGGCGGUUUCUUAAGUCUGAUGUGAAAGCCCCCGGCUCAACCGGGGAGGGUCAUUGGAAACUGGGAGACUUGAGUGCAGAAGAGGAGAGUGGAAUUCCAUGUGUAGCGGUGAAAUGCGUAGAUAUAUGGAGGAACACCAGUGGCGAA